rnacentral:lncRNA from 1 species
GAGGUAUGGCAUCAUCAAGAUGGCUGCCAUUGCCAUGGAAACGAAACAAAUGUGAAAAAUUUCUGUUUUUUGUUUUGGUGAACUGUUUGAAUAUGCUUACACUCAGAAUCAUCAUAUUUUAAUACAAUGUAGGUGCCCACUAUAUACAGGUGUUGGAUGAUUUUGGCACACAUUGGACCUACUAUGUUGCCAUGGAAACUACACCAAAAAUUUCAAAAAUAUCAAAAUGCUCAAAACUUAAUGAAACUUCACAGUAACGAUGAGCAACAUUGGAAGAUGUGGAAUUUGGCGUUGGAAUUUCCAAAAUAUCUGUUGUUACCAUGAAAACAAUGCAAAAAGGUCAAAACUUUGAAUUUUCACAGAACAUUCCAGAACAUCAAUGUUAAAUUUAUUCUAGAGACAUUAAAUGGUAUAUGAUGGUAUAUAUGAUUAUGGAGGGAAAAAAUUGCAGCGGGGGUUUGACUUUGGAAUAUUCAAAAUGGCCGCCGUUACCAUGGGAACAGCAAAAUUAUGAAAAACUUCAAAAUGCUUUAAAUUUAAUGAAACUUAUAACAAAUUUUGCCUAGCUUAUGUAGACUUAACUUUUGAGUUUCUAAUUUUCAAAAUGGCCGCCGUUGCCAUGGAAACAGCAAACAUUUUCUAAAUAGCUGCCGCUGGCUUGGCAAUAGGGAAAGGGUGCCAUCCGCUAUUGCUUGCAAUGGCAAAUCUAGUUUUUAUGGCACCCUCAACGGAGUUGGGGUGACAUAUUGUUAUUGUUCGUUUCUUUUUAUGGCACCCUCAACGGAGUUGGGGUGACGUAUUGUUAUUCUACGUUUCUUUUUUUUCUUAUUAUUAUUAUUUUUCUUGCAACACAUUUUGUCCAGGCGAUUUCUCCAAAUCUAAAGUACCAAAGUUGAUGGAACUUAACUAUAUUAAGGACCCCCAUGUGCAGAGUUGCAGGAAGCAUGGAAUGGUUCAAGAUGGCUGCCGUUUCCAUGGAAACAGAACAAAUGUGAAAAAAUCCAGUUUUUUGUUUUGGUGAACUGUUUGGAUAUGCUUUAACUCAGAAUCAUUAUAUUUAAAUACAGUGGAGCUGCCCACUAUAUACAGGUGUUGGGUGAUUUUGGCACUCAUUGGAACUACUAUGUUGCCAUGGAAACUACACCAAAAAUUCCAAAAAUAUGGAAAUGCUCCAAAUUUUUUGAAACUUCACAGUAACGAUGAGCAACAUUGGAAGAUGUGGAAUUUGGCGUUGGAAUUUCCAAAAUAUCUGUUGUUACCAUGGAAAUAAUGCAAAAAGGUCAAAACUUUGAAUUUUCACAGAACAUUCCAGAACAUCAAUGUUAAAUUUAUUCUAGAGACAUUAAAUGGUAUAUGAUGGUAUAUAUGAUUAUGGAGGGAAAAAACUGCACUUUUGGAAUAUUCAAAAUGGCCGCCGUUACCAUGGGAACAGCAAAAAUUAUGAAAAACUUCAAAAUGCUUUAAAUUUAAUGAAACUUAUAACAAAUGUUGCCUAGCUUAUGUAGACUUAACUUUUGAGUUUCGAAUUUUCAAAAUGGCCGCCGUUGCCAUGGAAACAGCAAAAAUAUUCUAAAUGGCUGUCGCUGGCCUGGCAAUGGGGAAAGGGUGCCAUCCGCUAUUGCUUGCAAUGGCAAAUCUAGUUUCUUAUUAUUAUUAUUAUAUUUAUUCUUCCACACUUUUUUGUCCAUUCUAUUUCUCGGAAUUGGCUUGAACAAUAUUGAUGGAACUAUACCAUAAUGUAGACCACCACAUUCUAUAGUGCAGUGGGGUAUGGCACCAUCAAGAUGGCUGCCGUUGCCAUGGAAACGAAACAAAUGUGAAAAAUUUCUGUUUUUUGUUUUGGUGAACUGUUUGAAUAUGCUUAAACUCAGAAUCAUCAUAUUUCAAUACAAUGAAGGUGCCCACUAUAUACAGGUGUUGGAUGAUUUUGGCACUCAUUGGACCUACUAUGUUGCCAUGGAAACUAAACCAAAAAUUUCAAAAAUAUCAAAAUGCUCCAAACUUUAUGAAACUUCACAGUUACGAUGAGCAACAUUGGAAGAUGUGGAAUUUGGCGUUGGAAUUUCCAAAAUAUCUGUAGAUACCAUGGAAACAAUGCAAAAAGGUCAAAACUUUGAAUUUUCACAGAACAUUCCAGAACAUCAAUGUUAAAUGUAUUCUAGAGACAUUAAAUGGUAUAUGAUGGUAUAUAUGAUAAUGGAGGGGGGAAAUUGCAGCGGGGGUUUGACUUUGGAAUAUUCAAAAUGGCCGCCGUUACCAUGGGAACAGCAAAAAUUUCAAAAAUUUCAAAGUUCUCCAAACUUAAUGAAACUUUUCAAAAUUGACAAUUGGCAUGAGUAGAUGCACUCUAUGAUUUUGGAAUUUUCAAAAUGGCUGCCGCUCGCCUGGCAAUGGGGGAAGGGUGCCAUCCGCUAUUGCUUGCAAUGGCAAAUCUAGUUCUUAUUUUUAUUCUUCCACACAUUUUGUCCACGCUAUUUCUCGGAAUUGGUCAGACCAAUGUUGAUGGAACUAUACCAUAAUAUGAACCUCCAUGUGAAGUUGUGCAAGAGACAUUGGAAUGGUAAAAAAUGGCCGCCGUUACCAUGGAAACUGCAAAAAUGUAAAAAAAAAUCCAAAUUCUAAAUCUUUUAUUAUAAGAGCCAACCUAAUGAAACUUUAUGUAAAUGUUGGCAGUGGUGCCCUGAGGUACCAACACGACUUAGCUUCUGCAAAAUCUGUACCAUUGCCAUGGAAACUGGAGAAAAGUUUAACAUUGAACCUAUGGGAAAAAACUUCAAACCAGCCUUUUCUAAAGGAAUAUAAGAUCAAACUCAAAGAAACUUUAUGUAUAUAUAACAUGGCAUAAGUCGAUAUUGAAACUGUUGUUGGAAUUUUCAAAAUGGACACCGUUACCAUGGAAACAGCAAAAAUGUCCAAAAAUCUCAAAAUGCUUCAAACUAAAUAAAACUCAUUA